rnacentral:tRNA from 1 species
GGGCAUGUAGCUCAGUUGGUUAGAGCACCACCUUGACAUGGUGGGGGUCGAUGGUUCGAGUCCAUUCAUGCCCACCA